rnacentral:rRNA from 1 species
CAAGUCAAGGGGGCCCAGCAAUGGGCAACCGGCGAACGGGUGCGUAACACGUGAGCAACCUACCGAACUGUGGGGGAUAGCCGGCCUAACGGCCGAGUAAUACCGCAUACGCUUUCAUUGAGGCAUUUCAGUGAAAGGAAACCUACGGGACAGAUCGAGGAGCUCGCGGCCUAUCAGCUAGUUGGCGGGGUAACGGCUCACCAAGGCGACGACGGGUAGCUGGUCUGAGAGGAUGGCCAGCCACAUUGGGACUGAGAUACGGCCCAGACUCCUACGGGAGGCAGCAGUGGGGAAUCUUGCGCAAUGGCCUAACGGCUGACGCAGCGACGCCGCGUGUGGGAUGAAGCUCCUCGGAGUGUAAACCACUGUUGCCCGGGACGAAUAGCUCGAUUAAUCGAGCCUGACGGUACCGGGUGAGGAAGCACCGGCUAACUCCGUGCCAGCAGCCGCGGUAAUACGGGGGGUGCGAGCGUUGUCCGGAAUCACUGGGCGUAAAGGGCGCGUAGGUGGUUUGAUAAGGGUGUGGUGAAAGCCCGGGGCUCAACCCCGGGUCUGCCGUGCCGACUGUCAAACUCGAGGGCUGUAGAGGCAGACGGAAUUCCGGGUGUAGCGGUGGAAUGCGUAGAGAUCCGGAGGAAGACCGGUGGCGAAGGCGGUCUGCUGGGCAGUUUCUGACAGUGAUGCGCGACAGCGUGGGGAGCAAACAGGAUUAGAUACCCUGGUAGUCCACGCCGUAAACGAUGGGUACUAGGUGCCUGGGGGAGCGACCCUCUGGGUGCCGGCGCUAACGCAGGAAGUA